GACAUAGAGGUUAGGAGCGGGCACCCCAUAUCUCCCAGAUCACAUUUAGAAACCCUUCAGCAAAAAUGCUGGAAAAGCAAAGCUGGUGACCUGGAGCUCCAGAGGAUUGAGCUCAACAGAUGAACAAACAAGUACUUCAGGACUGGAGAGAGGGCGUCUUCUGCUACCUGGCUGCAGUUCCAAGAGGAAUCUGUAACGUGCUGCUGCUUAGACUAAAAGACUAAAAGCUGUGUCUUCGUGACCAAAGAGAAAGAAAUGCAAUGGGAAUCAAUCGGAGGAACCUCACAUCUCUCACAGCCCAGCAGCCUCUGCUUGGCCCGACUGACAAGAGAGAGCUUUGUGUUACACCUGGCACCAGGGCCACUGGAGCAGCCUUGGGUCCCGCAGUGACACUGUCUGCUCCAUGUCUCCCUGAGAAGCUGGCUUCGGCACGGCAGAAAAAGACACUUGUGAAAAAGACAGAGAAGAAGACUGUGUCCCAGCGGCCUCUGCCCAUGACAACAGCACCCUGACAACAGCAGACUUGAGGACCCUGGCUUCUUUGACAUCUCAUCCAAGUUCUCGCUCACUAUUUUCAAGGAGACUCAGAUGCCCAAAUCAUACCACAGAAAAUUGAUAAACGCCCAUCCUCUGCAGCACAGCCAGUUAGCAAUCGUGGAGCUGUAUCCCGGAGCACCAUGGUGUUGUCCUGCCGGCGAGAUGAGCCGUCAGAGGGCCACACAGACCAGUG